AUUGAACGCUGGCGGCAUGCCUUACACAUGCAAGUCGAACGGCAGCGGACCUUCGGGUGCCGGCGAGUGGCGAACGGGUGAGUAAUAUAUCGGAACGUACCUUUCAGUGGGGGAUAACGUAGCGAAAGUUACGCUAAUACCGCAUAUUCUGUGAGCAGGAAAGCAGGGGAUCGCAAGACCUUGCGCUGAUUGAGCGGCCGAUAUCAGAUUAGCUAGUUGGUGAGGUAAAGGCUCACCAAGGCGACGAUCUGUAGCGGGUCUGAGAGGAUGAUCCGCCACACUGGAACUGAGACACGGUCCAGACUCCUACGGGAGGCAGCAGUGGGGAAUUUUGGACAAUGGGCGCAAGCCUGAUCCAGCCAUGCCGCGUGAGUGAAGAAGGCCUGGUUGUAAGACGUCUUUCGGUCCGGGAACGAAAGUACGACACAGGUUAAUAACCUCGUGUGGAGUGACGGUACCGGAAGUAAGAAGAC
rnacentral:rRNA from 1 species